GGCUCCGACACUGACAUCCGAUUCUAUACCAGAUUUCCAAGCUAUGAUCAUUUGAUGGCAUUUUGGUUUUUGAUUGAGCCUUGCAUCUAUAAAAUGAUCCGGGUUUCAAGAGCCAAGUCAGCUGCCAAUAGGAACGAAGAAGUGUUGACACCUGCACGCACAUCAACGAGGCAGCUGCUACAGCCAAUUGACGAGUUCUUUCUUUUCCUGGUUUUCCUGUCAGUUGGUUUGAAGGAGAGGGACCUGGCACAUCGAUUUAACAUACACCAGUCCACAGUGAGCCGCAUUAUUGCAACAUGGACAAAUUUUCUUGCCACUGCACUGGGGUCUCAAUGCAUCUGGCUUACACGUGCAGAAGUGCAAGCUUACCUCCCUGAGGAAUUCAAAGAUUUCUCAGACACCCAGAUGAUCCUUGACUGUACAGAGCUGAGGUGUCAGACACCAUCCUCACCACUUCUCCAAA